rnacentral:rRNA from 1 species
CCCUUACCGGGUACGGGGACCGUGUCAGGCGGGCAGUUUGACUGGGGCGGUCGCCUCCUAAAGAGUAACGGAGGCGUUCCAAGGUUCCCUCAGAAUGGUUGGAAAUCAUUCGAAGAGUGCAAAGGCAUAAGGGAGCUUGACUGCGAGACCUACAAGUCGAGCAGGGACGAAAGUCGGACUUAGUGAUCCGGUGGUACCGCAUGGAAGGGCCAUCGCUCAACGGAUAAAAGCUACCCUGGGGAUAACAGGCUUAUCUCCCCCAAGAGUCCACAUCGACGGGGAGGUUUGGCACCUCGAUGUCGGCUCAUCGCAUCCUGGGGCUGAAGUAGGUCCCAAGGGUUGGGCUGUUCGCCCAUUAAAGCGGUACGCGAGCUGGGUUCAGAACGUCGUGAGACAGUUCGGUCCCUAUCUGUCGUGGGCGCAGGAAAUUUGAGAGGAGCUGUCCUUAGUACGAGAGGACCGGGAUGGACGUACCGCUGGUGCAUCAGUUGUUCCGCCAGGAGCAUGGCUGAGUAGCUACGUACGGACGGGAUAAGCGCUGAAAGCAUCUAAGCGUGAAGCCCCCCUCAAGAUGAGAUUUCCCAAUUAGUAAGACCCCUUGAAGACGACGAGGUAGAUAGGUUGGAGGUGGAAGUGCAGCAAUGCAUGGAGCUGACCAAUACUAAUCGGUCGAGGGCUUAUCCAA